rnacentral:rRNA from 1 species
GCGUGCCUAAUACAUGCAAGUUGAGCGCUGAAGGUUGGUACUUGUACCGACUGGAUGAGCAGCGAACGGGUGAGUAACGCGUGGGGAAUCUGCCUUUGAGCGGGGGACAACAUUUGGAAACGAAUGCUAAUACCGCAUAAAAACUUUAAACACAAGUUUUAAGUUUGAAAGAUGCAAUUGCAUCACUCAAAGAUGAUCCCGCGUUGUAUUAGCUAGUUGGUGAGGUAAAGGCUCACCAAGGCGAUGAUACAUAGCCGACCUGAGAGGGUGAUCGGCCACAUUGGGACUGAGACACGGCCCAAACUCCUACGGGAGGCAGCAGUAGGGAAUCUUCGGCAAUGGACGAAAGUCUGACCGAGCAACGCCGCGUGAGUGAAGAAGGUUUUCGGAUCGUAAAACUCUGUUGGUAGA